rnacentral:rRNA from 1 species
UACAGAGGGUGCGAGCGUUAAUCGGAAUUACUGGGCGUAAAGCGUGCGUAGACGGUUUCGUAAGUCGGGUGUGAAAGCCCCGGGCUCAACCUGGGAAUUGCAUUCGAGACUGAAUAGCUAGGGUACGGUAGAGGGAAGUGGAAUUUCCGGUGUAGCGGUGAAAUGCGUAGAUAUCGGAAGGAACAUCAGUGGCGAAAGCGGCUUCCUGGACCAGAACUGACGAUCAGGCUCGAAAGCGUGGGGAGCAAACAGG